AAAACAAUUUACGUGUUAAUUACAACAAAAACUUUAUCUGUAUAGAUUUUUGAAAAAUCCAGAUAAUUAUCCAGAUUUUACUUUCUCUCGAUAGAAAACAGUGCUGCCAAUGUACAUAACACUUAUUAAAUGUCAGAUUCCAUUAAGCGACAGCUGCAGUUGACAGAUAUAUGACAAAAAAAUUUAAUAUUUAAAAUUGAAUUCAAUUAAGAAUAACAAACAACACAAAUCAAUGAUUCGCGUUUUUGCAAGAGUGCGAUAUCUUCCGCAAAAUUAAAGAAAAAAACCUGAAAAGGAGAUGGAAAGAAUUAUUUCACAAAAGAAGAAUUCUGUGUACUGUGCCCUUGUGUCUUAAUCGUGUCGAUACCUUCAACCCUCACAGCCAAAAUGUAAUGUAAAAUGCUCUUGGAAUGCCCGAUCGUUUGCGAAAACGUCUAUUCUUUGACGAUAAACAUGGAUAAAUGUUAACAAAGCUCUUGAUGUUAGUCAAUUGCCUCAUUAGAAUGCCCACCACAAAAACAAUCUCAUACAUUUUAAAAAUGAUACACGUCAUGUAUGUGCGCUGCGAAGAAAAGCAAAUACAAACAUACCUUCCGAAAAAUAUUCCCCCAGGAUAUACUUUUCAUCCCAAACAGCACACAGCAACAAGCAAGACAAUCCUAACAUUGCAUUAUGCAGCUCAUUCAACACCCAAAUCCUUCAGCUCCCUAAAAUCGCCCUUACUUUAUAUAAAUGGAAUCAGAAUCAAGACCUGUUGAUGAAAAGCCAUUUAAGAAGAUGAUCGCUUCACUGCCUACAAACUUGUACGACAUGUGCAUGUAAAGUGAAGUGUGGAAACAAUGGCAUCUUGAAAAUGGUAAUUGUUUCAAAGCAUCAUUUAGCUUCCCAAUUGGUUGCAGAUGUACUCUGCCUGCACUGAUGUCGUCCUGUUUCUGUAGGAGAUGUCUUCUAGAAAUGGGUUUAAAGCCCUAAUCGAGAUCCCGAGAAAAUGAUAUCUGCAUGAAUCUUCUUCGCAAUUACUUUCCCCUCCUAAACAGUUAUGCAGCGGGAGGAAUUAAAGCAAUACAAAUGGAUUCCCAACACAACCAACCCUACAAUUGAAAUCCGGGUCUGAGCACCUCGAGGACAACCUAGACAGCAGACUUUUUAAAUUAAGUUUAUCCAUGUAUUAUAUUUUUUAUAUUUUAUAACUUUUAUUUUGUUGACCAAUUUGUAUUUAAUAGUUUGGGUUGGAAAAUGUAUUUUAAAACGACCAAAAAAGCCGACGGAAAAUACAUUUUCCAACCCAAACCAUUAUUUAACGUUAGACCUCUUUGUGCCAUUAAAUUUUAAAUGUGUCUUAGAAAUAAGUUAUUUUAAGUCAAUUGUAAAUAGCAAGUUCAAUAAACCAAAAUUUCAAAUUUAAAACGUAAUCCGGUUUGCUUUUUUUCAUUAAGAUUUAUCUAACCAGUUUCCAAUCCGAUAUGAAAAUUAAAUACAAAUUUGUUCGCGCCUCACUGCAUAAUCUCAGAACUGUUCUUUUACAUCGGACUUACAAAAUGUUUCCAUAAAAAAUUCAACACAUAACUUUGUAUUAAUUUUUAGAAAUAAACAACAUAGGUAAUCAAAGAAAUAAAUACUCAGCUUUUGACAAAAUUCAAGAUGCUGAGGGCACUUCGGUAUCCUGAUUAAAAUUCCAUAAAUCAAGGCGACCACUGCCGUCGACAGAAGCGAACAAGUCGGGGUGAAUUAUCUUCAAAUGAAAAUAAUGGUUAAGUGUUCUACAAAUAAAUACAAAAAAUGUUAUACACAUUGGUCGUUAGAGUAGAUAUUAAAUUUCACCUAAGACUCCAUAACUUAAUUGUCCAAUCAAUGGACGAUGUAAGUAACGAAUCACCAAAAUCUGGUGUAGAUUGAUUUGGAUGAGUUGAUAUUCCCGUCAUAGGACCCAAAUGCUUCUCAUAGACUUCAGACACACCCGACCGUAUUCCAUGUCGAUAAGCUUGAGUAGAAACAACAAUUUAUUUAUAAGCAAAUGUAAAAUCACAAGAAACUUUUACAAUAAUAAACACUGCCAUCUUCACUACCCAUAACCAGAUUGUAAAUCUCAUUAGAUGGAAAGGACAUGCAAGUGAUUGCCGUUGCUGCAAUUUCAGUGUAUCUUGCGGCCAUCGGAUGAGAUCGAUAUUGUCUGCAUUCUGUGUGCCAACCAUUUGCAAACAGUACACUGGAUGCGUAUGUGAAGUUGCACUUAGAAUUGUCCUCUGGAUGGGUGUGCGCUUUUACACUCGAUUAUCCCAUAAUACAAUCUGACCGGAAUACGUUCCACCGAGUAUAAUAUUCUGAUUGAAUUUAGCAAAGCAUGUUGACAUAACGGCACUCUGACAAUGGAAUUCAUCUUCGGGUGUUUGUUUUUUAUAUUUUGUGUUCCAGGCCAUUACAAUACUAUCUUGUUCAUUGGGACUCUCCUUAAAAAAGUAAGUGGGUUUAAGAUAGAAUCGUAGAAAAAAUACAAUUGCAAACCUCAUUAUUUGGAUAUGAAGCAACAACCAGUUUAGGAAAAUGUGUUGACCAAUCCAUUGCAGUGAUGCAUCGAUUUUUAGACCAUCGGUCUUCGUAGAAAGCUCAAUUCAAUGGCAACCUGUGUCCUCUCAUCGUUUGACUCUUCAUUAUCACCACCUCCAAUAUGUAGUCUGUGUAAAUGUCGACAUUCUCAAAUAGAGCCCUUUCGAUGACACGUCCAGCGCGUAAAACAAACCUUUAAAAAUCCUCCGACAAGAUGAUCAUCUGUUUUUGUUCUUCCGUUCUGAAAGCACAAA